rnacentral:lncRNA from 1 species
AGGAUAGAGACUUCAAGAAUUCCUAUACCUAGGAGGGAGCAGGAGGAGAAGACCCAAGGCAGCAGACAGAGAAAAAGGAGAAUGAGGAUGACAUGCAGAAGUUAAGGAAGGAACAUCUCAGGGAGAGGAGUCCCCUGCUGAUUGGGUGAUGGCCACCCACGUUGAGGGAGGAUCUUCCCUCAGUCCACCCACUCACAUGCCAGUCUCCUCUGGAAGCACCCUUGCAGAUACA